UGAUGAACCGCUUAGCCUUCC
rnacentral:piRNA from 1 species